AUACGGAGGAUCCGAGCGUUAUCCGGAUUUAUUGGGUUUAAAGGGAGCGUAGGCGGAUGUUUAAGUCAGUUGUGAAAGUUUAAGGCUCAACCUUGAAAUUGCAGUUGAUACUGUUUUUCUUGAGUGUACAUAAGGUAGGCGGAAUUCGUGGUGUAGCGGUGAAAUGCUUAGAUAUCACGAAGAACUCCAAUUGCGAAGGCAGCUUACCGGGGUACAACUGACGCUGAGGCACGAAAGUGUGGGUAUC
rnacentral:rRNA from 1 species